rnacentral:rRNA from 1 species
GACGAACGCUGGCGGCGUGCUUAACACAUGCAAGUCGAACGGAAAGGCCCUGCUUUUGUGGGGUGCUCGAGUGGCGAACGGGUGAGUAACACGUGAGUAACCUGCCCUUGACUUUGGGAUAACUUCAGGAAACUGGGGCUAAUACCGGUUAGGAGCUCCUGCUGCAUGGUGGGGGUUGGAAAGUUUCGGCGGUUGGGGAUGGACUCGCGGCUUAUCAGCUUGUUGGUGGGGUAGUGGCUUACCAAGGCUUUGACGGGUAGCCGGCCUGAGAGGGUGACCGGCCUCAUUGGGACUACGAUACGGCCCAGACUCCUACGGGAGGCAACAGUGGGGAAUAUUGCACAAUGGGCGGAAGCCUGAUGCAGCAACGCCGCGUGCGGGAUGACGGCCUUCGGGUUGUAAACCGCUUUCGCCUGUGACGAAGCGUGAGUGACGGUAAUGGGUAAAGAAGCACCGGCUAACUACGUG